UUUAUGGAGAGUUUGAUCCUGGCUCAGGAUGAACGCUGGCGGCGUGCCUAAUACAUGCAAGUCGAGCGAACGGACGAGAAGCUUGCUUCUCUGAUGUUAGCGGCGGACGGGUGAGUAACACGUGGAUAACCUACCUAUAAGACUGGGAUAACUUCGGGAAACCGGAGCUAAUACCGGAUAAUAUUUUGAACCGCAUGGUUCAAAAGUGAAAGACGGUCUUGCUGUCACUUAUAGAUGGAUCCGCGCUGCAUUAGCUAGUUGGUAAGGUAACGGCUUACCAAGGCAACGAUGCAUAGCCGACCUGAGAGGGUGAUCGGCCACACUGGAACUGAGACACGGUCCAGACUCCUACGGGAGGCAGCAGUAGGGAAUCUUCCGCAAUGGGCGAAAGCCUGACGGAGCAACGCCGCGUGAGUGAUGAAGGUCUUCGGAUCGUAAAACUCUGUUAUUAGGGAAGAACAUAUGUGUAAGUAACUGUGCACAUCUUGACGGUACCUAAUCAGAAAGCCACGGCUAACUACGUGCCAGCAGCCGCGGUAAUACGUAGGUGGCAAGCGUUAUCCGGAAUUAUUGGGCGUAAAGCGCGCGUAGGCGGUUUUUUAAGUCUGAUGUGAAAGCCCACGGCUCAACCGUGGAGGGUCAUUGGAAACUGGAAAACUUGAGUGCAGAAGAGGAAAGUGGAAUUCCAUGUGUAGCGGUGAAAUGCGCAGAGAUAUGGAGGAACACCAGUGGCGAAGGCGACUUUCUGGUCUGUAACUGACGCUGAUGUGCGAAAGCGUGGGGAUCAAACAGGAUUAGAUACCCUGGUAGUCCACGCCGUAAACGAUGAGUGCUAAGUGUUAGGGGGUUUCCGCCCCUUAGUGCUGCAGCUAACGCAUUAAGCACUCCGCCUGGGGAGUACGACCGCAAGGUUGAAACUCAAAGGAAUUGACGGGGACCCGCACAAGCGGUGGAGCAUGUGGUUUAAUUCGAAGCAACGCGAAGAACCUUACCAAAUCUUGACAUCCUUUGACAACUCUAGAGAUAGAGCCUUCCCCUUCGGGGGACAAAGUGACAGGUGGUGCAUGGUUGUCGUCAGCUCGUGUCGUGAGAUGUUGGGUUAAGUCCCGCAACGAGCGCAACCCUUAAGCUUAGUUGCCAUCAUUAAGUUGGGCACUCUAAGUUGACUGCCGGUGACAAACCGGAGGAAGGUGGGGAUGACGUCAAA
rnacentral:rRNA from 1 species